rnacentral:rRNA from 1 species
GAGUUUGAUCUUGGCUCAGAUUGAACGCUGGCGGCGUGCUUAACACAUGCAAGUCGAGCGGUAACAGGCGUAGCAAUACGUGCUGACGAGCGGCGAACGGGUGAGUAAUGCUUCGGAAUCUUCCUCGUAGUGGGGAAUAACCUGGGGAAACUCAGGCUAAUACCGCAUACGAACUACGGUUGAAAGCAGGGGAUCGCAAGACCUUGCGCUAUGAGAUGAGCCGAAGUCGGAUUAGCUAGUUGGUGAGGUAAAGGCUCACCAAGGCGACGAUCCGUAGCUGGUCUGAGAGGACGACCAGCCACACUGGGACUGAGACACGGCCCAGACUCCUACGGGAGGCAGCAGUGGGGAAUAUUGGACAAUGGGGGCAACCCUGAUCCAGCGACGCCGCGUGUGUGAAGAAGGCCUGCGGGUUGUAAAGCACUUUUAGUGGGGAUGAAAAGCCGAAGGCUAAUACCUUUCGGUCUUGACCUAACCCAAAGAAAAAGCACCGGCUAACUCUGUGCCAGCAGCCGCCGU